GGCAAACAGGCAUUUGUCAAAAAUGUUUUGUCAAUAAUUAUUUUAAGAUAUAACAUAUAAUUAUUUUAAGAUAUAAAUUAUUUUAAGAUAUCCCAUGGCUGUGGUCAGUUUGGACAAAUGACCAAUCUGCAAUCUGUAAACUGCCAUCAGAUGCAAGAAGUCCACCGACACUAGAGCUGCCCAGGUUUGACUCCUAGUCUGCUCUUUGCACUCCGCCUGACAACCUUCCCUCGUGCCUGGCUGCCUGAUCCAGGCACUGGAGGAAAGUGAAUGUUGAUGCUGGCCAUGAGGUUUUCCAAGGCCACUGGGCACAAUUCUGGGGUUGCCACUGGGUCUCAGAGUCUCAUUGUUUUGCAAGGGUCACUGUUCUGUCACACCACACUGCCUCAACUUGUUAGAGGCAAGCUUUCCCCUGGGAACGAGAGUUAAUCAAAAAGUUCCUGUUGCACAUCAAUUUGGUCCUGGGUGUAAUUUCUACUCAGAUUACAUGGAUCUUGUAAGGUCACGCUCUGCUGCUCCCUGGACUCUGACCGCUGCCCGGCACCUUCUCCUUCCUCCUCAGAGACACCCUUCCCUGCCAAGAGCAGGCCUAGGGUGGGACCUAGACAUGGGCUGUGGCCAAUUCUUCUGUUCUCAGAUUGUUUCUUGACAGAUGCCCAAAACAAGAAGCUGGGGAUGAGAGGAACCCAGGCAAGCUCUGAUCCUGAACUUGGAUAUAGUUCCCUAACAGCUGGCAUUUUAUCUCAGUCACAUUAUAAUUUUAUUUUGUUGUGUUGCAAAAAAACCUAGGUUCCUCAAAAGAUUUGGCCAAGUUCAUAGCAAAGUUCUAGUACUUAUUCAUUCAUUUAACACAAAUUUAUUAAGUACCUAUUAUAUUUGUCAGAUACCAUUCCAGGAGUCAGGAUUAUUAUGACAGAGAACAAAACGGAUGAAUGGCCCUGUUCUCUUGGAGCUUACAUUGUUAUAGAAAGAAAAAUGAUGAAUGAGUAAUAUGUUCUAAGAAAUUUGAAGAAAAAUUUGUAAUCCCAGUGACUCAGGAGGCUGAGGCAGGAGAAUCAUAUUUGAGGCUGGCCUCAGCAAUUUAGUGAGGCCCAAGCAACUUAGCAAGACCCCAUCCCCAAUACCAGACCAAAAAAAAAAAAAAGAAAGAAAGAAAAAGAAAAGAGGGGCUGGGGCGGUGGCUCAGUGGCAGAGCACUUGCCUGGCAGGUGGGAGGCCCUGGGUUCAGUCCUCAGCACCACAGAUAAAUAAAGAUCCAUUGGCGACUAAAACCUAAAAAUAAAAAUAAAAGAAAAGAAUGAAAGAUAUUUGAAGAAAAAUCAAGCAGGGUAAGAGAGAGAGCACAAUAAUGGAGAGGUGGGCUGCUCUUAGGCUUUUCUGAUGGGGAGACUUGAAGCAGAGUGGGAAGGAGGCCAGGUGCUGCCAGGGAGCUGUCUGGAGGAGUCCUUUCCAGGCAGGGCAGCAGGAGGGCGUAGCUUCCCAGCCAGGUGUGUUAGUGGCCUGGUGAGUGGCAGCUUCUCACUGACUGUGUCCUGGCUGGGCCUUGUCUGCCUGUGGUGGGCUUGUUGGGAGGAACCAGUGGAAUCAUUUAUGUGAAAACAUUUGUAUAAACAUCAAACACUGUAUAGGAAUAUUCUGUUUAUGUUGUCUCCAUCAAGUAUUUGUAAAGUGGCUAAAUCAUCAAGUAUUAUUAACUAUAAUUAUUAUAUUGCAGUUCUGCCCCCUUUGUUUUCUUAUUAUCAAGGUGAAUUUCACCUAACAUUAACAUUGUUAUAUGUUACAAUCAGUGGCAUUUGUUCCAUUUAUAAUGUUGCCCAGCCACCACCUCUCUAGUUCAAAACUUUACCAUCAUCCAUGCUCUUUUUAUUCAUUUUUCUUAUUUAUUUAUUUACUUACUUUGUGGUGCUGGGUUGGAACCCAGGACUCAGAGCAUGCUAACCAGGCAUUCUGCCAUUGCCCCCAUAUUUUUCAGUAUUAAUUUAUGUUGUCACUCCUGAAAUAGGAUUUCCCCCAUUUCUGCUUUGUUCUUUCCAUUUCUGUCUGACCUGCACUAGUUCCUAUGGUUCCUCCUUGUCCUUAUUCAACAGGUAUUUAUCAAGGGCUGGGGUGUGGUUCAGGGGUAGUGUGCUUGCCUAGCAUGCCAAGGCCCUAGGUUCCAUCCCCAAAACUGCCACCAAAAAAAAAAAAAAGGUAUUUAUCAAGCAUCUAGUACACAGUAGGCAUAAUGCUAGACAGACCCGGGGAAUUCAGGGGUUUAGAUACUGAACAGAUAAUUGACAGGAAAUUUAAUUAUGAUACAUGUUUAUAAGGGGAAAAACGCUGUAAAUACUGUGUUAAAAAUUUUGUGUGGGCUAGAAAUGUGUGAGGUCCUGCAUUGGGUCCCCAGCACUGCAAAAAGUUAAAAAAAAAAAAAAAGUGAAGUUAUUAGAGCUGCUAGAAAAAAAGCUGCCACAUAAUUGUGUUCCCACGGCAAGAGACACUGGGGUGAAAGAUCUCCUCGGGGAAGUGAAAUGGAUUUUGCUUGGGCAGAAGCAGGCGUGGUACCGGUAAAAACAGCAGGGCCUCAUUCAUUUGCUCCUGAGAACGACCCUUUGACGUGAGCAAGGAUGACCGUCGCGCCCCUUUUACAGACGUGGAAACAGAGGUUCAGCCGGCUGUGCCUUUCUAAUGCCACCUAGGGGUUGUAGCUAGCGUGUCGCUUUAACCAACGACGGCCUGGUGGAGCUGAAAGCCUUUUGUCCAACAGAGGGCAGCCGCGCACCGGGCGGGGGCAGGAGACCGUCAGCGCCCCAGCAGAGGGCGCCGCCCCGACGGCCCGACUCCGGGAGUCCGGGUACAGGAGCCCAGCGCCUGCGGGCUUCUCUAUGCUAGUUCGUGCUUGUGUUUUCUUAAACGCUUGUUCUUUAAUCAAAUUGUAGGAUAACAGGUCAGAGCAGCUACCCGAGUCACCCGCAGCUGUGAGCCAGUGACCACCGACACCCGGUCUGCCCCUCCCAGGCCCGCGGCUUGCCACGCACCCUGCCCGCGGUCCUGGAGGCCGCACGUCGCUCAUGUAGGCGCAGCCUGGAGUUUCUUCAGGCGGAUGACCUGGCAGCCUUUGCACCCCACCCACAACUGGUUUCGCUUUCCUAAUGCUGUUAAAAGUGCCUUCUAACUGGAGUGGGGUGGCGGAACAGGUUUCAGCAUUUUACUUACUUUUUUAUAUGCUCAUUUAAGAUUUCUUUGGUUAGUCCCUUCCCUCCC
rnacentral:lncRNA from 1 species